UGUGAUGUCCCAGGUGCCUCAGGUGUGUUGUCUCAGGUGGAAUGUCUAAGAUGUGAUGUCUCAGGUGCCUCAGGUGUGAUGUCCCAGGUGCCUCAGGUGUGUUGUCUCAGGUGGAAUGUCUAAGAUGUGAUGUCUCAGGUGGGAUGUCUCAGCUGUGAUGUCUCAGGUGCCUCAGGUGUGUUGUCUCAGGUGUGGUGUCAGAGGUGGGAUGUCUCAGGUGUGAUGUCACAGUUGGGAUGUCUCAGUUGGGAAGUCUAAGAUGUGAUGUCUCAGGUGCCUCAGGUGUGUUGUCUCAGAUGGGAUGUCUCAGGUGGGAUGUCUCAGGUGUGGUGUCAAAGGUGGGAUGUCCCAGGUGGGAUGUCUCAGGUGUGGUGUCAAAGGUGGGAUGUCUAAGAUGUGAUGUCUCAGGUGCCUCAGGUGUGUUGUCUUAGAUGGGAUGUCUCAGGUGUGGUGUCCCAGGUGCCUCAGGUGUGUUGUCUCAGAUGGGAGGUCUCAGGUCUUUUGUUUCAGGUGUGUUGUCUCAGGUGUGGUGUCUCAGGUGUGGUGUCAAAGGUGGGAUGUCUUACGUGAGAUUGUCAGUUGGGGAUGUCUCAGGUGUGGUGUCUAAGGUGUGGUUUCUCAGGUGUGUUUUUUCAGGUGGGAUGUCUCAGGUGUGGUGUCUCAGGUGUAGUGUCAAAGGUGGGAUGUCUCAGGUGUGUUGUCUCAGGUGUGACGUCACAGGUGUGAUGUUCCAGGUGCCUCAACUGUGUUGUCUCAGGUGGGAUGUCUAAGAUGUGUUGUCUCAGGUGGGAUGUCUAAGAUGUGAUGUCUCAGAUGCCUCAGGUGUGUUGUCUCAGGUGGGAUGUCUCAGGUGGGAUGUCUCAGGUGAGAUGUCUCAGGUGUGGUGUCAAAGGUGGGAUGUCUCAGGUGUCCCACGUGUGACGUCACAGUUGGGAUGUCUCAGGUGGGAUCUCUAAGAUGUGAUGUCUCAGGUGCCUCAAGUGUGUUGUCUUAGAUGGGAUGUCUCAGGUGUGGUGUCAAAGGUGGGAUGUCUCAGGUGGGAUGUCUAAGAUGUGAUGUCUCAGGUGCCUCAGGUGUGUUGACUCAGGUGGGAUGUCUCAGGUGUGGUGUCAAGGGUGGAAUAUCUCAGGUGUGAUGUCCCAGGUGUGACGUCACAGUUGGGAUGUCUCAGGUGGGAUGUCUAAGAUGUGAUGUCUCAGGUGCCUCAGGUGUGUUGUCUUAGAUGGGAUGUCUCAGGUGUGGUGUCCCAGGUGCCUAAGGUGUGUUUUCGUAGGUGGGAUGACUCAGGUGUGGUGUCAAAGGUGGGAUGUCUCAGGUGGGAUCUCUAAGAUGUGAUGUCUCAGGUGCCUCAGGUGUGUUUUCGUAAGUUGGAUGUCUCAGGUGGGAUGUCUUAAGUGUGUUGUCUCAAGUGGGAUGUCUCAGGUGGGAUGUCUUAGGUGUGUUGUCUCAGGUGGGAUGUCUCAGGUGCGAUGUCUCAGGUGCCUCAGGUGUGUUGUCUUAGAUGGGAUGUCUCAGGUCUGGUGUCCCAGGUGCCUAAGGUGUGUUGUCUCAGGUGGGAUGUCUCAGGUGUGGUGUCAAAGGUGGGAUGUCUCAGGUGUGAUUGUCAGUUGGGGAUGUCUCAGGUGUGGUUUCUUAGGUGUGUUUUCUCAGGUGGGAUGUCUCAGGUGUGGUGUCUCAGUUGUGAUGUCACAGGUGGGAUCUCUAAGGUGUGAUGUCCCAGGUGUGACGUCACAGUUGGGAUGUCUCAGGUGUGAUUGUCAGUUGGGGAUGUCUCAGGUGUGAUGUCUAAGAUGUGAUGUCUCAGGUGGGAUGUCUCAGCUGUGAUGUCCCAGGUGCCUCAGAUGUGUUGUCUCAGGUGGGAUGUCUCAGGUGUGGUGUCAAAGGUGGGAUGUCUCAGGUGUGAUGUCCCAGGUGGGAUGUCUAAGAUGUGAUGUCUCAGGUGCCUCAGGUGUGUUGUCUCAGGUGGGAUGUCUCAGGUGGGAUGUCUCAGGUGGGAUCUCUCAGGUGUGGUGUCAAAGGUGGGAUGUCUCAGGUGGGAUGUCUCAGGUCUGAUGUCUUAGGUCUGAUGUCUCAGGUGCCUCAGGUGUGUUGUCUCAGGUGGGAUGUCUCAGGUGGGAUGUCUUAGGUGUGUUGUCUCAGGUGGGAUGUCUCAGGUGGGAUGUCUCAGGUGUGAUGUCUCAGGUGCCUCAGGUGUGUUGUCUUAGAUGGGAUGUCUCAGGUCUGGUGUCCCAGGUGCCUAAGGUGUGUUGUCUCAGGUGGGAUGUCUCAGGUGUGGUGUCAAAGGUGGGAUGUCUCAGGUGUGAUUGUCAGUUGGGAUGUCUCAGGUGUGGUUUCUUAGGUGUGUUUUCUCAGGUGGGAUGUCUCAGGUGUGGUGUCUCAGUUGUGAUGUCACAGGUGGGACCUCUAAGGUGUGAUGUCCCAGGUGUGACGUCACAGUUGGGAUGUCUCAGGUGUGAUUGUCAGUUGGGGAUGUCUCAGGUGUGAUGUCUAAGGUGUGGUUUCUCAGGUGCAGUGUCUCAGGUGUGAUGUCCCAGGUGGGAUGUCUAAGAUGUGAUGUCUCAGGUGCCUCAGGUGUGUUGUCUCAGGUGGGAUGUCUCAGGUGGGAUGUCUCAGGUGGGAUCUCUCAGGUGUGGUGUCAAAGGUGGGAUGUCUCAGGUGUGGUGUCUCAGGCGUGGUGUCAAAGGUGGGAUGUCUCAGGUGUGAUGUCCCAGGUGGGAUGUCUAAGAUGUGAUGUCUCAGGUGCCUCAGGUGUGUUGUCUCAGGUGGGAUGUCUCAGGUGGGAUGUCUCAGGUGGGAUCUCUCAGGUGUGGUGUCAAAGGUGGGAUGUCUCAGGUGUGGUGUCUCAGGCGUGGUGUCAAAGGUAGGAUGUCUCAGGUGUGAUGUCACAGGUGGGAUGUCCCAGGUGGGAUGUCUAAGAUGUGAUGUCUCAGGUGCCUCAGGUGUGUUGUCUUAGAUGGGAUGUCUCAGGUGCCUAAGGUGUGUUGUCUCAGGUGGGAUGUCUCAGGUGUGGUGUCAAAGGUGGGAUGUCUCAGGUGUGAUUGUCAGUUGGGGAUGUCUCAGGUGUGGUUUCUCAGGUGUGUUUUCUCAGGUGGGAUGUCUCAGGUGUGGUGUCUCAGUUGUGAUGUCACAGGUGGGAUGUCUCAGGUGUGAUGUCCCAGGUGUGACGUCACAGUUGGGAUGUCUCAGGUGUGAUUGUCAGUUGGGGAUGUCUCAGGUGUGAUGUCUCAGGUGUGGUUUCUCAGGUGGUAUGUCUCAGGUGUGGUGUCUCAGUUGUGGUGUCAAAGGUGGGACGUCUCAGGUGUGAUUGUCAGUUGGGGAUGUCUCAGGUGUGAUGUCUAAGGUGUGGUUUCUCAGGUGUAGUGUCUCAGGUGUGUUUUCUCAGGUGGGAUGUCUCAGGUGUGGUGUCUCAGGCGUGGUGUCAAAGGUAGGAUGUCUCAGGUGUGAUGUCACAGGUGGGAUGUCUCAGGUGUGAUGUCCCAGGUGCCUCAGGUGUGUUGUCUCAGGUGGGAUGUCUAAGAUGUGAUGUCUCAGGUGGGAUGUCUCAGCUGUGAUGUCCCAGGUGCCUCAGAUGUGUUGUCUCAGGUGGGAUGUCUCAGGUGUGGUGUCAAAGGUGGGAUGUCUCAGGUGUGAUGUCCCAGGUGGGAUGUCUAAGAUGUGAUGUCUCAGGUGGGAUGUCUCAGCUGUGAUGUCCCAGGUGCCUCAGAUGUGUUGUCUCAGGUGGGAUGUCUCAGGUGUGGUGUCAAAGGUGGGAUGUCUCAGGUGUGUUGUCUCAGGUGGGAUGUCUAAGAUGUGAUGUCUCAGGUGGGAUGUCUCAGCUGUGAUGUCCCAGGUGCCUCAGAUGUGUUGUCUCAGGUGGGAUGUCUCAGGUGUGGUGUCAAAGGUGGGAUGUCUCAGGUGUGAUGUCCCAGGUGGGAUGUCUAAGAUGUGAUGUCUCAGGUGCCUCAGGUGUGUUGUCUCAGGUGGGAUGUCUCAGGUGGGAUGUCUCAGGUGGGAUCUCUCAGGUGUGGUGUCAAAGGUGGGAUGUCUCAGGUGGGAUGUCUCAGGUGGGAUGUCUAAGAUGUGAUGUCUCAAGUGCCUCAGGUGUGUUGUCUCAAGUGGGAUGUCUCAGGUGUGGUGUCAAAGGUGGGAUGUCUCAGGUGCGAUGUCCCAGGUGUGACGUCACAGUUGGGAUGUCCCAGGUGGGAUGUCUAAGAUGUGAUGUCUCUGGUGCCUCAGGUGUGUUGUCUUAGAUAUGAUGUCUCAGGUGUGGUGUCCUAGGUGCCUAAGGUGUGUUGUCUCAGGUGGGAGGUCUCAGGUCUUUUGUUUAAGGUGUGUUGUCUUAGGUGAGAUCUCCCAGGUGUAGUGUCAAAGGUCGGAUGUCUCAGGUGUGAUUGUCAGUUGGGGAUGUCUCAGGUGUGAUGUCUAAGGUGUGGUGUCUCAGGUGUGGUGUCUCAGGUGUGUUUUUUCAGAUGGGAUGUCUCAGUUGUGGUGUCAAAGGUGGGAUGUCUCAGGUGGGAUGUCCCAGGUGUGACGUCACAGUUGGGAUGUCUCAGGUGUGAUGUCCCAGGUGUGACGUCACAGUUGGGAUGUCUCAGGUGUGAUGUCUAAGGUGUGGUGUCUCAGGUGUGGUGUCUCAGGGCUGAUGUCUAAGGUGUGGUUUCUCAGGUGGGAUGUCUCAGGUGUGGUGUCUCAGGGCUGAUGUCUAAGGUGGGAGGCCUCAGGUGGGAUGUCUCAGUUGGGACGUCUCAGGUGCGAUGUCUCAGGUGUGGUGUCUCAGCUGUGUUGUCUCAAGUGGAAUGUCUCAGGUGGUAUGUCUCAGGGGGGAGGUCUCAGGUGUGAUGUCUCACGUAGGAGGUUUCUGUUGUGAUGUCUUGGGUGUGAUGUCUGAGGGGAUGUUUCAGGCAGUAUGUCUCAGGUUUGAUAAUACUUCAGGGCCUGUCAUUUGUUCAUUAACAGUUUCCAAACUCUGAUUGUUAGAAACAACCUCAGGAUGAUUGGUAGACGUGAAUGGCAGGUCUGAGUGGCAGCUAUGAUUUGCUGGGAUGAUUGGCAGGUAUGUCCUUCCUCCUGAAGGUAAGUUCUUUAUGAGUGGGAGGAAACACUGAGACGCCUGUUAGCUGUGUUUCCUCCUCUUCACGUUAAAGCUCCAUAUACAUUUACAAGUCCACCUGUGACACAGCAUUCCUCUCUGAUGUUGUUACCUGCAGAAUGAAUGUUCCACACCUUCUCUUUUCUCCAUGUUGACCUCUUAAUACUCACCUGCAAACCCUCUCUCAGGUAUCUGUGCUUUCU